CAGACCAUUCAGUAACACCUUGGUAACUUACCCUAAAGUUUUGGAUAACUCGUGGAAACGCGAGCUAAUACAAAAUAGUCCUAUAUAUCGUAAGAUCUAUAGGUAAAGCUUCGGUGCUUUAGGAAAGGCUUGGGUCGUAUCAGCUUGUUGGUGAGGUAAAGGCUCACCAAGGCUAUGACGCGUAGGGGGCCUAAGAGGGUGAUCCCCGACGAUGGAACUGCGACACGGUCCAUACUCCUACGGGAGGCAGCAGCCGAGAAUCUUCCGCAAUGCACAUAUUUGUGUGGCGGAGCGACGCCGCGUGAAGGAACGAAACCCCGAGGGGUGUAAACUUCUGUCGGAUGAGAACAAUUCAAGAGAGAUUAUCAUCCUAAAAGAGGCUGCUAACUUCGUGCCAGCAGCAGCGGUAAUACGAAGGCCUCAAGCGUUAUCCGGAUUUAUUGGGCGUAAAGGGUCCGCAGGUGGAAUUGAAGGUCAUUGCUUAAAUCCUUAGGCUUAACCUAAGAACUGGUAAUGAAACCGCAAUUCUUGAGCAUGCUAGAGGUAGACGGAACUCAUGGUGUAGCAGUGAAAUGCGUUGAUAUCAUGGGGAACACCAAAGGCGAAGGCAGUCUACUGGAGCAUCGCUGACACUCAGGGACGAAAGUAUAGGUAUCGAAGCGGAUUAGAUACCCGCGUAGUCUAUACCCUAAACGAUGAAUACUAGACAUUUGGAGUAUCGACCCUCCAAGUGUCGAAGCUAACGCGUUAAGUAUUCCGCCUGGGAAUUACGACCGCAAGGUUAAAACUCAAGGGAAUAGACGGGAGCUCGCACAAGCGGUGGAGCAUGUGGUUUAAUUCGAUACUAAGCGAGGAACCUUACC
rnacentral:rRNA from 1 species